rnacentral:rRNA from 1 species
GAAAGGCUCAUUAAAUCAGUUAUGGUUCCUUAGAUCGUACCCACAAUUACUUGGAAUACUGUGGUAAUUCUAGAGCUAUACAUGCAAACAGAGCUCCAACCGGAGACGGAAGGAGUGCUUUUAUUAGAUCAAAACCAAUCGGUGUCGGGCUCGUCAUCGUAUAACUUGGUGACUCUGAAUAACUUUACGCUGAUCGCACGGUCAUCGCACCGGCGACGCAUCUUUCAAAUGUCUGCCUUAUCAACUGUCGAUGGUAGGUUCUGCGCCUACCAUGGUUGUAACGGGUAACGGGGAAUCAGGGUUCGAUUCCGGAGAGGGAGCCUGAGAAACGGCUACCACAUCCAAGGAAGGCAGCAGGCGCGCAAAUUACCCACUCCCGGCACGGGGAGGUAGUGACGAAAAAUAACGAUACGGGACUCAUCCGAGGCCCCGUAAUCGGAAUGAGUACACUCUAAACCCUUUAACGAGGAUCAAUUGGAGGGCAAGUCUGGUGCCAGCAGCCGCGGUA